UUACUAUCUGCGAUAUGGAAGAUUCGAACCUGCCGCAGGUUCGGGUCGAACGCAGUGAGACAACGGAGCCGCUUGCGGCGACGGCCCGAAGGGCGAGCGAAGCGAGUCAUCCUGCACGACCCACCA
rnacentral:sRNA from 3 species